rnacentral:rRNA from 1 species
UACGAAGGGGGCUAGCGUUGCUCGGAAUCACUGGGCGUAAAGCGCACGUAGGCGGCUUCUUAAGUCAGGGGUGAAAUCCUGGAGCUCAACUCCAGAACUGCCUUUGAUACUGAGGAGCUUGAGUCCGGGAGAGGUGAGUGGAACUGCGAGUGUAGAGGUGAAAUUCGUAGAUAUUCGCAAGAACACCAGUGGCGAAGGCGGCUCACUGGCCCGGUACUGACGCUGAGGUGCGAAAGCGUGGGAGCAACAGGGAUUAAGAUACCCG